UACGUAGGGACCAAGCGUUGUUCGGAUUUACUGGGCGUAAAGGGCGCGUAGGCGGCGUGACAAGUCACUUGCGAAAUCUCCGGGCUUAACUCGGAACGGUCAAGUGAUACUGUUGUGCUAGAGUACAGAAGGGGCAAUCGGAAUUCUUGGUGUAGCGGUGAAAUGCGCAGAUAUCAGGAAGAACACCGACGGCGAAGGCAGCUUACUGGGCCGAUACUGACGCUGAGGAGCGAAAGCGUGGGGAGCGAACAGG
rnacentral:rRNA from 1 species